GACGAACGCUGGCGGCGUGCUUAACACAUGCAAGUCGAACGAUGAAGAAAAGAAUUGAAGCUUCGGCAGAAAUUCAUUUCGGAUUAGUGGCAGACGGGUGAGUAACGCGUGAGCAACCUACCUCUUACAAAGGGAUAGCCUCGGGAAACCGGGAUUAAUACCAUAUAACAUUGCGACGAAGCAUUUCGAUGCAAUCAAAGCUACGGCGGUAAGAGAUGGGCUCGCGUCCCAUUAACCAGAUGGUGAGGUAACGGCUCACCAUAGUAACGUUGGGUAACCGGCCUGAGAGGGUGAACGGUCACACUGGAACUGAGACACGGUCCAGACUCCUACGGGAGGCAGCAGUGGGGAAUAUUGCACAAUGGAGGGAACUCUGAUGCAGCGACGCCGCGUGAGUGAUGAAGGAAUUCGUUUCGUAAAACUCUGUUAUAUGGGAAGAAAAGGACUGUACCAUAGGAGAAAGCUCCGGCUAAAUACGUG
rnacentral:rRNA from 1 species